rnacentral:rRNA from 1 species
CGAGGUGAAGCAAAUCCCAAAAAAGUAGUCUCAGUUCAGAUUGUAGGCUGCAACUCGCCUACAUGAAGUCGGAAUUGCUAGUAAUCGCGGAUCAGCAUGCCGCGGUGAAUACGUUCCCGGGCCUUGUACACACCGCCCGUCACACCAUGAGAGCCGGUAACACCCGAAGUCAGUAGCCUAACCGCAAGGGGGGCGCUGCCGAAGGUGGGAUUGGUAAUUGGGGUGAAGUCGUAACAAGGUAUC